CCAAGCAAUCAUGCCGCUUCAUGAGUGCAAUUUGGAUUCAUGCAUGGUCGACAUGGAGAAUCUUCUUCUUCUUCUUCUUUACUCCCACAUCUUGUGAUGAUCUAUCUACACAGAAUCGAAGAAGGAAAUGCCUCUCUCUCUCUCUCUCUCUCUCUCUCUCGCUCUCUCGCACACACGUCGAUGGCCAUGGGUGUUUUUCUUUGCUUACUUGUUUCGAAAGAUGUUGGAAUGGAGGUCAGUGGGAGAGAAGACUGUGUUCUUGGCAUACUCCUCUCAAAUCCUUAGCCGGAGAAGUCGUUUUCACCCCUCCCACAACAGAGAACAGUUUUGAACUCGUGGGAUGGGGAAUGGAGGGUUUGAGACAGCAGGUAGCCGAGUAGAGCCGAAAGCUUUAUUGGAGUUGGUGGGGACAAACACGUCAUAUUCUACGGCGCCGGCCCCACGCCAGUAGGUGCUCGUCCUCGUGGCUCAAGAGGAGGGUGGAUGAUGCGUGCAUGCAUCUCGCGAGUCUUCUUCGUUUCUGUUGUAGUUUCGUUGCCUUCCCAUCUUAAAGCUCACCGCUCUCUCUCUCUCACACGCACUCUCUCUUUCUCUCUCUCUCUCUCUCUCCUCCUCCUCCUCCUAAAGGAAGAAGAAGAAGAAGAAGAAACGAGAACCCUAUCAAAUGGCUCUUAGCAUUCCUUUUAACAGUCGAUGUUUGCGAGUGCAGCAUCAUCAAGAUUCACAUAGUUUCAGCAUCUUUGGCCUCUGAUAUCAUAUGAGAAUCUUGAUGAUGCUGCACCGGCAAUUGGCGACUACGCUCGUCGAGUCUCUUGCAGAAAGGUGGAAAUUCCUUCAGGUCUGGAGAAGAAAGGAAAAAGAGAGAGAGACGUGAGAUCGAGCAAGGUUGCAAGGGACAAUGACUUUUGGAGGAAGCUCUGUUUUGUUUUAGAUUGCUACACCUAAGUGUUUGACUAGCAGCAUGUAAUGAAGAGCGAGAUAUGUGAUUGCUCUAUAAAUCCUUGUUUUUUA